rnacentral:snRNA from 1 species
AUCGCUUCUCGGCCUUUUGGCUAAGAUCAAGUGUAGUAUCUGUUCUUAUCAGUUUAAAAUUUUAAUCUUUAAUUACAUGAAAGGAUGUUUAUGCAAGAGGGUGACCUCUU